rnacentral:rRNA from 1 species
UACGGAGGGUGCAAGCGUUAUCCGGAUUUACUGGGUUUAAAGGGUGUGUAGGCGGGCUUUUAAGUCAGUGGUGAAAUCUCCGGGCUCAACCUGGAAACUGCCAUUGAUACUAUUAGUCUUGAAUUUUGUUGAGGUAGGCGGAAUAAGUCAUGUAGCGGUGAAAUGCAUAGAUAUGACUUAGAACACCAAUUGCGAAGGCAGCUUGCUAAACAAUAUUGACGCUGAGGCACGAAGCGUGGGAUCAAACAGGA